rfam:Cryptococcus bestiolae CBS 10118 unplaced genomic scaffold supercont1.1, whole genome shotgun sequence.
AUCUACGGCCAUAGAAGGUAGAAAGAGCCGCAUCCCGUCCGCUCUGCGCAGCGAUCCUACCUAUCGCCCGGUUAGUACCAAGGUGGGGGACCACUUGGGAAUCCCGGGUGCUGUAGUUU